GUUGGCCAUCAUAAUUUCCUGGUGGAACAUCUUCUGGUCUGGAAGUGGCUGGGGCACUUCUUCAAUCGGCCAUCGUAGCACCCUAACAAGUAGGUGCAAGAAGAUGCAAUAAUAAGUAUGUAACUUCGAGAGGAUCAGACAAGUACUGCUGUGUCACCCUGUCACACAUCACACAGGUGUAUGAAUGUGAGUUAGUCCUGCGAUUGGCUGGCGACCAGUCCAGGGUGUAUCCUGUCUCUCGCCCGAAGUUGGCUUGGAUAGACUCCAGCCCCCCCGCGACCCUGUGUGCAGGAUAAGCGGUUUCACAAUGGAUGGAUGGAUGGAACUUGAAGCAGAGCGUCGUCACUACCAGACUCCCUCUCCUCCUUCCUCCUCAUGUCAUCGUUGUCCUUGAGCGGCGUCUCCGGUCUCCCUUCGAUGUUUCACAGUCUGAUGCUAAAUCUUUUGCAUUCUUUCGCUGGCUGGUGUAAAUUGUUUUCUAUUUUUUUUGAGACUCAGACGAGUCCUUAAAAAACCGACACACAAAUGUUAAGCGAUCCGCAAACAAAUCCAGUGUUAUCCGGAAACGAACAAAGACACUUUCUUUAAGCAGUGUUACAGGAAAAUGUCUUUUAACAAGACCAUGAUUGUAAUGCAAGACAAUGCUCCGUCACAUGCAUCGAUAUACUUCACUGCAUGGCUAGCCAGGAAAGGCCUUAAAAGGUGAAAAAAUAAUGACAUGGCCCCUUCCUCACCUGACCUAAACCACACAAUUUUGCUGCAUAAAUUGUUGAUCGUCAACAGAUCAAGAAACUGACAGACUCCUUGAAUGGCAGGCUUAUUACUGUUAUUGAAAAGGGUGGCCAUAUUGGUCAGUUUCUUUUCAGGAAUGUUUAUUUGUAAAUUUUCAGUUGUUGGGUUAUUGGUUUAUUAUUCUCACUCUCAACAGAUGGAAAUAAACAAGUGAGAUGGGAAAUCUUUCGUUUGUCCAUUCUGUUGCAUAAUAAUUGUGCACACUAAUAAUUGCCCAAUAAUUGUGCACACAUAGACAUUCUCAUAAGAAAGCCAAAACCUCACAUUUACUUUCUUAAAUAUUUAGGUUUGGGAUUUAUUGUUGUUUAGGAUUGACCGAGAGCACUGUAGUUAGUCAAUAACAAAAAUAAUCCUCAAAAAUACAUCUU
ensembl:lncRNA